rnacentral:rRNA from 1 species
AACGAACGCUGGCGGCAGGCCUAACACAUGCAAGUCGAGCGGACCCUUCGGGGUUAGCGGCGGACGGGUGAGUAACGCGUGGGAAUAUGCCCUUCUCUACGGAAUAGUCCUGGGAAACUGGGAGUAAUACCGUAUACGCCCUUUGGGGGAAAGAUUUAUCGGGGAAGGAUUAGCCCGCGUUGGAUUAGGUAGUUGGUGGGGUAAUGGCCUACCAAGCCGACGAUCCAUAGCUGGUUUGAGAGGAUGAUCAGCCACACUGGGACUGAGACACAGCCCAGACUCCUACGGGAGGCAGCAGUGGGGAAUCUUAGACAAUGGGGGCAACCCUGAUCUAGCCAUGCCGCGUGAGUGAUGAAGGCCUUAGGGUUGUAAAGCUCUUUCAGCUGGGAAGAUAAUGACGGUACCAGCAGAAGAAGCCCCGGCUAACUCCGUG